CUUCAUUCCUCUUCUCCAAUCUUUCCUCUUUCAAAACACUGAACCCUAGCACCCAUCUCCUCCUCUAGCGCACCUCACCUCCUCCGCCACCCCUUCCACCUCCGCCGCCCUGCACCUCCGCCACCCCCUCCACCUUCGUCGCCCUUCUCCUCCAGCCGAUACCCACCUCCGUCGCCCCUCCAUCCCAGCCGACACCUACCUCCGCCGCCCCUCCACUCCAGCCGACACCUCAUCCAACGUCUUCUCCACCACUCAAAGGUUAUGUGCUUUGAAGAAAGUUGUCCAAUUUUUGUAGAUUUCAAGCAAGUUAUGAGGGAGAUUCAAAUCAAACAGGAAGCGUUAGGAGUACAUGACAUACUGAAAAUGUUACGACUCAGGGGAUCUAAGAGUGAUUUAGCGGCUCAUUAGUACUUGGAUGUCGAACAUGACACUCUUCUCUUGAAUGCCGUUGACCAAAGCUUCAACCGAGAGAGUCUAAAGUUCACUACAUCACCCUUUCGUUGGUGCACUCUUUCAAGAAUACAUGGGUUGGGUAAUCACUAGUGCAUCGUCUUUUCAUCAGUGAUAGAGCCAACAAUCAAGAUCUCCUUUUCAGGACCCACUCAUGGAGUCAUACCCAUGGAUCCUUAUUUCUCUUAGUCGUGUCAAUGCUACUUCUUUAUAGGGAUGACCACUUUUGAUCAAUAUGCUGCCUUUUUUAUACGAAUAGUCUUGUCAUCUGUCUCCUUCAACCUUAGCUCGAAAGUGAUUAGUCCCGCACGUUGCGGCUGGCGGGAACUCGCUUGGUGCAUUCGUAAUCACAAAUGAAAGAAGAACCAUGGGACGGCGGGCGGGAACUUGCUUGGUGCAUUCGCAAUCACAAUUGAAAGAAAAACGUUGGGACGACACUGGCAUUCACAAUCACAAAUGAAAGAAAAACGUUGGGACGACAUGGGUAUUCGAUUGGCAUCAAUCCUCAGUUCGAUAUCUACAAACACGUUCAACACUAAUAAAUUCCAAUAUCCAUACUUUUUAUCAUUUGUCUCAAAUUUUAAUUUUAAUUUUGAACAUUUAUAUAAGAACUACAUAGAAUUGCAGCAAU